AAAAUUGAAUAUACUGGCAUAAGUAGCAAAAAUAAUGUUAUAAACAUUAUCAUCUAAAAAUCUAAGGUUUCUAAUGUCAAGAUAAACUGCAUUAGGUUAAUCGGUCCCUAAAAUGAAUAUGAUAGUAAUAAUUGAAGGGUAGUUAAAGAGUUAUAAGGAUAACAUAAUAUUUUUAACGUUAUUAGUAGAUGACAGUUUAUUUUUUAAAUAUUUUAGGAUCAAAUUUUAAUAAAUAUAGUAAAACAUUGUGUGAUAUAUUCGAAUAUAUUGAUUGAAAUAUUUAAAAAAUAAAUUCAAGAAAGAAUACUAAUAUAUAAAACCGUACUAAAUCCUACACAGGAGGAUUAGUAGAGAAUACUAAGAUGAAUAAUUGAAUAAUAUCGAAGGAACUCGGCAAAUUAACUCUGUAACUUCGG
rnacentral:rRNA from 13 species